rnacentral:rRNA from 2 species
UACGUAGGGGGCAAGCGUUAUCCGGAAUUAUUGGGCGUAAAGAGUGCGUAGGUGGUCUACUAAGCGCGAGGUGAAAGGCAAUGGCUCAACCAUUGUUAGCCUUGCGAACUGGCAGACUUGAGUGCAAGAGAGGAAAGCGGAAUUCCUAGUGUAGCGGUGAAAUGCGCAGAUAUUAGGAGGAACACCGGCGGCGAAGGCGGCUUUCUGGAUUGUAACUGACACUGAGGCACGAAAGCGUGGGUAGCAAACAGG